GAUGAACGCUGGCGGCGUGCCUAACACAUGCAAGUCGAACGGAGAUUACGUACGGAAGUUUUCGGAUGGAAGACUGUAAUUCUUAGUGGCGGACGGGUGAGUAACGCGUGGGCAACCUGCCCUAUACAGGGGGAUAGCAGCUGGAAACGGCUGGUAAGACCGCAUAAGUCGGCGAGACCGCAUGGUUUUCCCGGGGAAUGAGCAAUCAGGUAUAGGAUGGACCCGCGUCCGAUUAGCCAGUUGGUGGGGUAAAAGCCUACCAAAGCAACGAUGGGUAGCCGGCCGGAGGGGGUGACCGGCGACAUUGGGACUGAGAUACGGCGCAGACUCCUACGGGAGGCAGCAGUGGGGAAUAGUGUACAAGGGGAGGAAGCCGGAUGCAGCAACGCCGCGUGCGGGAUGACGGCCUUCGGGUAGUAAACCGCUAACGCCAGUGACGAAGCGUGAGGGAGGGGAAUGGGUAAAGAGGCACCGACUAGGUACGAG
rnacentral:rRNA from 1 species